rnacentral:rRNA from 1 species
UGGGGAAUAUUGCACAAUGGGCGAAAGCCUGAUGCAGCGACGCCGCGUGCGGGAUGAAGGCCUUCGGGUUGUAAACCGCUUUUAAUUGGGAGCAAGCGAGAGUGAGUGUACCUUUUGAAUAAGCACCGGCUAACUACGUGCCAGCAGCCGCGGUAAUACGUAGGGUGCAAGCGUUAUCCGGAAUUAUUGGGCGUAAAGAGCUCGUAGGCGGUUUGUCACGCCUGGUGUGAAAGUCCAUCGCUUAACGGUGGAUCUGCGCCGGGUACGGGCAGGCUAGAGUGCAGUAGGGGAGAUUGGAAUUCCCGGUGUAACGGUGGAAUGUGUAGAUAUCGGGAAGAACACCAAUGGCGAAGGCAGAUCUCUGGGCUGUUACUGACGCUGAGGAGCGAAAGCAUGGAGCGACAGGAUUAGAUACCCUGGUAGUCCAUGCCGUAAACGGUGGAUGCUGGAUGUGGGACCCUUCC